ACACGACUACAUUAGAUACCCGGGUAGUCCCAGCCCAAAACGAUGCGCGUUAGGUGUAUCGGUGACCACGAGUCACCGAGGUGCCGAAGGGAAACCGUGAAACGUGCCGCCUGGGAAGUACGGUCGCAAGGCUGAAACUUAAAGGAAUUGGCGGGGGAGCACCACAACGGGUGGAGCCUGUGGUUUAAUUGGACUCAACGCCGGGAAGCUCACCGGAUAAGACAGCGGAAUGAUUGCCGGGCUGAAGACCCUGCAUGACCAGCUG
rnacentral:rRNA from 1 species